rnacentral:rRNA from 1 species
AUUGAACGCUGGCGGCAGGCCUAACACAUGAAAGUCGAGCGGAGCGGCGGACGGGUGAGUAUUGCCUAGGAAUCUGCCUGGUAGUGGGGGAUAACGUCAGGAAACGGGCGCGAAUACCGCAUACUAUGAGAGGAGCCUAGGGCGGAUGAGCUAGUUGGUGGGGUAAAGGCCUACCAGGGCGACGAUCCGUAACUGGUCUGAGAGGAUGAUCAGUCAAACUGGAACUGAGACACGGUCCAGACGCCUACGGGAGGCAGCAGUGGGGAAUAGUGGACAAUGGGCGAAAGCCUGAUCCAGCCAUGCCGCGUGUGUGAAGAAGGUCUUCGGAUUGUAAAGAACUUUAAGUUGGGAGGCGUUACCAACAGAAUAAGCACCGGCUAACUCCGGGCCAGCAGCCGCGGUAAUUC